AUUUUGAACCUGAAAUAUUUCAUAUUUAUAAUAAUUGUUUUCAAUUUCAAAACCAAUAUAUAUAAUAUUUAUUUAAUCAAUACCUUAAUGUUUUCAAUUUCUUUGUCUUUCAAUUUCUUUGUCUUUCAAUUGAGUUUCCUUGGUCUCACUUUCAACUAUUGACCCACAAUAUUUAUUUAAAAUAUUUGGGUCGCAGUUGAUUUUUGUCACAACAUAUGCUCUAUCAAAAAUCGUUGAUUCUUCAACUUUAAUUUUAAAUAAAGCAUUUUUGUUGGUGAUAGCAUCUAUCUCAAUUGGCAACUCAUUGCUAUUAGGAUCCUGCAAAAUUUUUAAUUUAAAUUAAUAACUUUAGAAUUAUCUCCAUAAUUUUAUUUAUAAUUUUAUUUUGCAUUCACUUACAUAUAUUAUUUCUUCAGCAGGUUUCCCAAUUAGUUGUAAGCACUCCCUAUCCCAUAAGCUUAAAGAAACACCUCCAGAAUUAUCAGCAACAUAUACUCUUAGUCUAUACAUAUUUUUUUAUUAGAUAACAUGUUAGUAAGUCAUAAACAAUAGUAUUUUCCAAAUAUCUUAAAAUGGAUUUACCUCAUUUUUCCUGAAACAUCAAAGCUUGCACAGUUGUCACAAAAAAAUUUAUCAUCGUUUGCUUUCAGUUUUUUUAGGCAUAUGUUGCAUGCUAAGUAAGCCCAAGCUCGAAGCGUUGAUACAGAACAUAUUGUGCCAUAUAUCCAGUACAUUCCCUUCUUAAAAAACACAAAAAUAUAUUAUUUAAAUGUUUCAAAAAUUUAAUAUUAAAAAAUAUAAAAUUAUGUAAUAUUAAACCUAUUGACCAGUCAACUCUGAAAUAACCAUGAAUUUUGCACUGCCUUCAUUUAUUUCAUAUUCAAUUGUUCUAAUUGUUGGUGCUGCCAAUAACUUGAGAUUGAUUGAUCUUUCCUUGUGAAGUUUGAUAAAACUGCAAUUGGAAAUAAUGUGAACAAUAAUGUAUGCCGAUGCAAUUAAUUUUUAUUUUUUAAAAUACUUACUUGUCCUUCAUCUUCUUGAUUUCAACAAUGUUUUCAUCAAAAAGUAUGUUUGACACAUGAUAUGAACUUGAUAUACAAACUUCACCUGUUUCAUAAACCAAAAUGUAUUAGCACAAAUAGAUAAUAGAUAAUGAUAAUAUUUUUUUUUAUUUUUUCUACCUCUGAAUAUAGAUGGGCGACAGAAUUGUACUAUGAUACAUAUUGGCAUUUUUGGUUCUGUGCACAGAUAUUCAUGCAUUUUAUCUGCAUACUGUUCCCAAAGUGUGCAUGUCAUAGUCUUUCCCCUGCAAUUAAAUACAAUUUAGGUUAGUCAUUCACAUAUAUUGAGGUAUUUUAUUUAUGCAAUUAACAUAAUUGAAAGUAUAAUAAAUAUUACUCCAAAUCUUCUAUGAUGAUAUCCAUAAGCUUUGUUUGCUGUCCAUUGAAAUCUUUGAUUAUUGGCUGAUAACUUGAAACUACGAUUCCCAUGAUAUCUACAAUAUAAAUUUGAAAUUAAAAUUCAUAAGAUGAUAAUAAUUAAAAUAAAAUGGCUGAAAAGUUUUUACCAAACAUGACCACAUUCUGGACGUCAGAAAUAGAAGAAAUUUCUCCAAAAUUCUUGAUGUUGAAUGUGUGAUUUGGGAAUGUAUCAUCAUCGAGUUCUACAACUCUUGUGUGCUUGAACAAUAAAAGCUUAUAUUGUGACUCUGUGGUUUUGUAUUUCAUGGUGUUGUUGGCGAUAACAAAAUCCUUGAUUGCAUAAACAUGUCCUUCUGUGAGGAGUGGCUUAAUUUGCUGUAGUGAUGAAGUAUUAAUUGUGGCAUGGAUUCGAUCGCCCUGUAAAAAUAAACAAAAAUUUUUAGUAUGAUAUUUGAAAUUUUCGAAAAUAUAAAAAAAUAGUGUAUUGAGUGAGUACCUAUUUAUCAUGGAACACACACUCAUGAGAAAAUGUUUCAGAUCUGUUGUUGAACUUGAAGAUGUCAUAACUUCUUAUCAAGCGCAAUUGCAAUGCGAUCUUGCUCUUUCCCGGUUCCAAUUCCUUGAUGACGCCGAACAAAGGAGCCAUUUCAACGUAAAAUGAAAAAAUGAGAAUGAUUUUUGUGGAGAUCAAUUUUUUGGCUAUGGAAUUCGUAUUGUGAUAGGUGGAAUUCGUAUUGUGAUAGUUUGUGAGGUUAUAUUUAUAGAUGGUGUAAAUUAUUUAUUUUGUUUUAUAAAAUUAUGGAGUAACUGCUGCAGUUAUGGAUAGGAUUUAACUAAAUAACUGUAAUAGAUUUGUACAUUGUGUAAAUUAUUUAUUUUAUUUUAAAAUUCGUUGAUUCAGACA